rnacentral:rRNA from 1 species
GGCCUAACACAUGCAGUCGAACGGUAACAGGAAGCAGCUUGCUGCUUUGCUGACGAGUGGCGGACGGGUGAGUAAUGUCUGGGAAACUGCCUGAUGGAGGGGGAUAACUACUGGAAACGGUAGCUAAUACCGCAUAACGUCGCAAGACCAAAGAGGGGGACCUUCGGGCCUCUUGCCAUCGGAUGUGCCCAGAUGGGAUUAGCUUGUAGGUGGGGUAACGGCUCACCUAGGCGACGAUCCCUAGCUGGUCUGAGAGGAUGACCAGCCACACUGGAACUGAGACACGGUCCAGACUCCUACGGGAGGCAGCAGUGGGGAAUAUUGCACAAUGGGCGCAAGCCUGAUGCAGCCAUGCCGCGUGUAUGAAGAAGGCCUUCGGGUUGUAAAGUACUUUCAGCGGGGAGGAAGGGGAGUAAAGUUAAUACCUUUGCUCAUUGACGUUACCCGCAGAAGAAGCACCGGCUAACUCCGUGCCAGCAGCCGGUUAAAAUAA